rnacentral:lncRNA from 1 species
AGAAUCACUGUCUCUGUCGUUCUAGAUGCCAUUUAUACCAUUAGCCGCUGCAAUCUGGCUUGCCUGGGAGAUGAAUAUGAUCAUCGCCGAGCAAUUAGGAAACAGUUUUGUGGAGAUCUGUGCUUUACAUUACAAGCUGGUGGGGCAGAGAAGCAGCCUGUUUUUCUGAAGUGUUAAUUUUGAAUCCAGUUAUCAAAAAUAACCUCACCAUGAUUGGACACGUUCGCCUAUACUGAGCUGUUUUCAUGCAAACUGGAUGAAGCCCAGACCCUGGUAUGUGGCACUGUGUCAGUCAAGGAGACUGGGAGCAACCUCUCUGCCAGGUGGUGUCUGCCUAGGAUGGAUGAAGGAGAAUGAGAGAUGGGCUGAAACCUCCUCAGGUGAAAGCAGGACUGCGGCCCCACUGAUGCUUCCGCCAAUGUCCUUUGCUG